GUGGUUCAACUGAUUUGAAGAGCUUGCUCAGAUAUGACGAUGGACAUUGCAAAGAGUGGCGAACGGGUGAGUAACACGUGGGAAACCUACCUCUUAGCAGGGGAUAACAUUUGGAAACAGAUGCUAAUACCGUAUAACAAUGACAACCGCAUGGUUGUUAUUUAAAAGAUGGUUCUGCUAUCACUAAGAGAUGGUCCCGCGGUGCAUUAGCUAGUUGGUAAGGUAAUGGCUUACCAAGGCGAUGAUGCAUAGCCGAGUUGAGAGACUGAUCGGCCACAAUGGGACUGAGACACGGCCCAUACUCCUACGGGAGGCAGCAGUAGGGAAUCUUCCACAAUGGGCGAAAGCCUGAUGGAGCAACGCCGCGUGUGUGAUGAAGGGUUUCGGCUCGUAAAACACUGUUGUAAGAGAAGAAUGACAUUGAGAGUAACUGUUCAAUGUGUGACGGUAUCUUACCAGAAAGGAACGGCUAAAUACGUGCCAGCAGCCGCGGUAAUACGUAUGUUCCAAGCGUUAUCCGGAUUUAUUGGGCGUAAAGCGAGCGCAGACGGUUAUUUAAGUCUGAAGUGAAAGCCCUCAGCUCAACUGAGGAAUUGCUUUGGAAACUGGAUGACUUGAGUGCAGUAGAGGAAAGUGGAACUCCAUGUGUAGCGGUGAAAUGCGUAGAUAUAUGGAAGAACACCAGUGGCGAAGGCGGCUUUCUGGACUGUAACUGACGUUGAGGCUCGAAAGUGUGGGUAGCAAACAGGAUUAGAUACCCUGGUAGUCCACACCGUAAACGAUGAGUGCUAGGUGUUUGAGGGUUUCCGCCCUUAAGUGCCGCAGCUAACGCAUUAAGCACUCCGCCUGGGGAGUACGACCGCAAGGUUGAAACUCAAAGGAAUUGACGGGGACCCGCACAAGCGGUGGAGCAUGUGGUUUAAUUCGAAGCAACGCGAAGAACCUUACCAGGUCUUGACAUCCCUUGACAACUCCAGAGAUGGAGCGUUCCCUUCGGGGACAAGGUGACAGGUGGUGCAUGGUUGUCGUCAGCUCGUGUCGUGAGAUGUUGGGUUAAGUCCCGCAACGAGCGCAACCCUUAUUACUAGUUGCCAGCAUUCAGUUGGGCACUCUAGUGAGACUGCCGGUGACAAACCGGAGGAAGGUGGGGAUGACGUCAAAUCAUCAUGCCCCUUAUGACCUGGGCUACACACGUGCUACAAUGGCGUAUACAACGAGUUGCCAACCCGCGAGGGUGAGCUAAUCUCUUAAAGUACGUCUCAGUUCGGAUUGUAGGCUGCAACUCGCCUACAUGAAGUCGGAAUCGCUAGUAAUCGCGGAUCAGCACGCCGCGGUGAAUACGUUCCCGGGUCUUGUACACACCGCCCGUCACACCAUGAGAGUUUGUAACACCCAAAGCCGGUGGG
rnacentral:rRNA from 1 species